rnacentral:rRNA from 1 species
UGGGGUAGUGGCUUACCAAGGCUUUGACGGGUAGCCGGCCUGAGAGGGUGACCGGCCACAUUGGGACUGAGAUACGGCCCAGACUCCUACGGGAGGCAGCAGUGGGGAAUAUUGCACAAUGGGCGGAAGCCUGAUGCAGCAACGCCGCGUGCGGGAUGACGGCCUUCGGGUUGUAAACCGCUUUCGCCUGUGACGAAGCGUGAGUGACGGUAAUGGGUAAAGAAGCACCGGCUAACUACGUGCCAGCAGCCGCGGUGAUACGUAGGGUGCGAGCGUUGUCCGGAUUUAUUGGGCGUAAAGGGCUCGUAGGUGGUUGAUCGCGUCGGAAGUGUAAUCUUGGGGCUUAACCCUGAGCGUGCUUUCGAUACGGGUUGACUUGAGGAAGGUAGGGGAGAAUGGAAUUCCUGGUGGAGCGGUGGAAUGCGCAGAUAUCAGGAGGAACACCAGUGGCGAAGGCGGUUCUCUGGGCCUUUCCUGACGCUGAGGAGCGAAAGCGUGGGGAGCGAACAGGCUUAGAUACCCUGGUAGUCCACGCUGUAAACGGUGGGUACUAGGUGUGGGGUCCAUUCCACGGGUUCCGCGCCGUAGCUAACGCUUUAAGUACCCCGCCUGGGGAGU